GAUGAACGCUGGCGGCGUGCCUAAUACAUGCAAGUCGAGCGAACAGACGAGGAGCUUGCUCCUUUGACGUUAGCGGCGGACGGGUGAGUAACACGUGGAUAACCUACCUAUAAGACUGGGAUAACUUCGGGAAACCGGAGCUAAUACCGGAUAACAUGUUGAACCGCAUGGUUCAACAGUGAAAGACGGUCUUGCUGUCACUUAUAGAUGGAUCCGCGCCGCAUUAGCUAGUUGGUAAGGUAACGGCUUACCAAGGCAACGAUGCGUAGCCGACCUGGUAGGGGGUCGGCCACACUGGGACGUGAAAACGGGCCAAGCUCCUUAGGGGGGGAAGCAGAGGGAAUCUUCCGCAAUGGGCGAAAGCCUGACGGAGCAACGCCGCGUGAGUGAAGAAGGUCUUCGGAUCGUAAAACUCUGUUAUUAGGGAAGAACAAAUGUGUAAGUAACUAUGCACGUCUUGACGGUACCUAAUCAGAAAGCCACGGCUAACUACGUG
rnacentral:rRNA from 1 species